rnacentral:antisense_RNA from 1 species
GUUUCACAGAGGAUUGAAUAUACAGUUAGGAUUAAGAAUCACUGAGAUGAAUGAUUCUAUGCCACUUACAAUAGACAUAAGUAAGGCUAUUAUUAAACCAACUCAUAUAAAUUAUCAUCCAUCCAAGUCUUCAUUUUGCCUAUGUAAGAUAAUUUUUAAUGAUGUCUAAAUGUUUAGAUUGUUUUAAAUUCAGAAAUCAGGGAAAAAU